CGCGCAAAGUGAAUUUCUGCUCUACUUGGGGGCGGUAACCAGGUUUGGUACUAGCUCUGCUGUGAUUAGCCGUGUUUGAAGAGUAAAAUUUGAUUGACAGCCCUCCUCAGUCGAAGAAGACAACCAGAGACGAAUCUUCGAGACAGACAACAACGGCAUCUGGCAGUGGGCAGAGGUUUCUUCAGGACAUUGAGGAGCCAGACAUCGACUGGGAUGUUGCCAUGGACCACAAUGGUGAGGCAGAAGGAGUGAUGGUGGUUCCUCACAUUGACUGUCCGAGGUAGGAAGAGCCUACUCUACGACUGACGCAUUUUUCGAGUCUCGGAGAUAUCGCAGACGAACCAGGAGUCAGACUGGAGGUGGGCUCCGAUACCCUGGUGGCGGCAACAGAUGGUGCACAGUGGGCCAUGAAAGACAACGCGCUCCCUCCAAUCCAAUAACUGUGUGUGUAUGUGUGUGUGUGUGUGUGGAGGAGGGGGGUGGAGAGAGGUGAUUUCUCGCCCAGACAACACACCACACACAACACACACACAGCACAUAACAGAAGGCUUCUUCCCUCACCGGAGACAAUAUCCUGGAAAACUCAUUUGCCGGGGUGACGAUGUGGAGGCAGACUGGAUCUCAAGGUGAGCCGCAGAAAGGAGGAGGAAGGAGGGCAGAAAGAAGGAGACAGAAGGAAGAAUAGAGAGAGCAAGAGAGAGAGAGAGAG